CCCGGUGUAGCUCAGUUUCUUAGAGCAUGUGGAUUUUAAACCAUAAGGUCGAAGGUUCAAGUCCUUCCUCCAGAA